CGGCGUGGAUGAGGCAUGCAAGUCGAACGAAUGACUGAUUAACUUUCGGGUUAAUCACGAUUUAGUGGCGAAAGGGUUAGUAAUAUAUGAACAACUUACCCUUAACUCUGGGAUAACAGGUGGAAACGCCUGCUAAUACCGGAUGUGGUAGUGACUAGGCAUCUAGACACUAUUAAAGUGGGGGACCUUCGGGCCUCACGGUUAAGGAGAGGUUCAUACGAUAUCAGCUUGUUGGUGAGGUAAUGGCUCACCAAGGCUAAGACGUCUAGGCGGAUUGAGAGGUCGACCGCCAACACUGGGACUGA
rnacentral:rRNA from 1 species